AGUCGAGCGGUAGAGAGAAGCUUGCUUCUCUUGAGAGCGGCGGACGGGUGAGUAAUGCCUAGGAAUCUGCCUGGUAGUGGGGGAUAACGUUCGGAAACGAACGCUAAUACCGCAUACGUCCUACGGGAGAAAGCAGGGGACCUUCGGGCCUUGCGCUAUCAGAUGAGCCUAGGUCGGAUUAGCUAGUUGGUGAGGUAAUGGCUCACCAAGGCGACGAUCCGUAACUGGUCUGAGAGGAUGAUCAGUCACACUGGAACUGAGACACGGUCCAGACUCCUACGGGAGGCAGCAGUGGGGAAUAUUGGACAAUGGGCGAAAGCCUGAUCCAGCCAUGCCGCGUGUGUGAAGAAGGUCUUCGGAUUGUAAAGCACUUUAAGUUGGGAGGAAGGGCAUUAACCUAAUACGUUAGUGUUUUGACGUUACCGACAGAAUAAGCACCGGCUAACUCUGUGCCAGCAGCCGCGGUAAUACAGAGGGUGCAAGCGUUAAUCGGAAUUACUGGGCGUA
rnacentral:rRNA from 1 species